rnacentral:rRNA from 1 species
AACGAACGCUGGCGGCAUGCCUAACACAUGCAAGUCGAACGAGACCUUCGGGUCUAGUGGCGCACGGGUGCGUAACGCGUGGGAACCUGCCCUUAGGUUCGUAAUAACUCCCCGAAAGGGGUGCUAAUACCGGAUAAUGUCUUCGGACCAAAGAUUUAUCGCCUUUGGAUGGGCCCGCGUUGGAUUAGCUAGUUGGUAGGGUAAAAGCCUACCAAGGCGACGAUCCAUAGCUGGUCUGAGAGGAUGAUCAGCCACACUGGGACUGAGACACGGCCCAGACUCCUACGGGAGGCAGCAGUGGGGAAUAUUGGACAAUGGGCGAAAGCCUGAUCCAGCAAUGCCGCGUGAGUGAUGAAGGCCUUAGGGUUGUAAAGCUCUUUUACCCGGGAUGAUAAUGACAGUACCGGGAGAAUAAGCUCCGGCUAACCCCGUG